rnacentral:miRNA from 1 species
ACCUUGGCUCUAGACUGCUUA